rnacentral:misc_RNA from 1 species
AGGUGAGCGCCAAUACGCGCACGUACGCGGAAAGGGGAACCGCCCAUGCGCACAUAAAGGUCCUCACUCUCGCAUACGGGCUCGGCCGGCUGCUGAGAGGCAGCGCCGGCAUCCGCGUUGCGGCAAGCCUCCUGCUGUGCUGAUUGCCGGCGCGCCUGGAGCGCUGGCGGCGGCGGCGGCGUACAUUUGAUGGUGCCGCCCCCCUCCCCCUUCCUCCCUCCCCUUCCCGGGCAGCGCCGUCACCGGGCCUACGGCACGGCGCGGUUGCCGAGGUGAUGGGCAAUGCGACCUGGCCGCUGGUGGUGGGCACUGACGGAGGGGAGCUCUGUGUGGCACCUGAGCGCAUUGUGUUGCGGGGGCCGCCGAGGAAGCUGCACCACACCGCGAGGCUGCUGGAGCGUGCGAGCUGGCUGCGCUGCUGCGCGCACGGCCCGCGCGCCGUGGAGGCCGUGGCGCUUAUCCCGAUUAGCCGGUGCUGGCGCGGGGGUGGGCGUGAACCACGGACCGCCACCGAGACCCCUCCAAGGCCGCCCGGUGGUGUGAGGGCGUGUGUGUGUGCUCGCGACGGCCGCCCUCGCCGGUGGCUGUGGCGGGUGCAAGAGUGCGCUGUGCCGCAGCGCGGUGCGCGUGGAGGGCGGGCCGCUCGCGCACGUCGGCGUCCGCGGCGCGGAGGGCAGGCUGCGCUGCGUCGUCGAGGCGCUCUGCGUGAAGCGGGGGCGCGAGGUGUGCGGCGACGCUGUGGCGCUGGCGUGUGCGACCGUCGUCUGUGCCAUCUCACCGUGGAGGGGUGCCCAUCGCGUCGCUCAGCAUGGCCGCCGCUGGGGUGCGGCGCCUCGGCCUGCGCAUGAUUGCCGUGCGCCGCCGCGAGCGGGCGUUCGCGUAGACGCAGCACGCCGUGGACGAGUUGUUUGCCGCGGUGCAUGAAUGCCGCGUCUCGGCGGGAAGGCGCACGGAUGAGAAGCUGCUGAGGUCGGUGCGGCGCUGGGGGCGCACUGCGUUGCACGAUCCCGCACAGGACGUGUGCGUGUUUCACCACAAGCUUUUCCACUCCGCCUCCCGGUGCUGCUGGCCGCAGGCGCGCGGUGAGAUGAGGAGGUGACGGGGAAGGGCGGGUGGUGGCUCUGCGCGAGCGCGUGGGUGUCGGGUGGAUGGGAGUGUGCACUGAUGUAGGUGCACCCUCGCGUGCUGCGACUGGCACCGCCGCCCUCCUCGCCCCAUGGGGCGCACACGGGGUCGCUGCUGCUCGCAUCCCCUGCUCUUUGGUGAUGUUCCUUUUUUUUCUUGUGGUGCAGGGCCGCGGCGGUGCGGGGAUGGGCGGUGCUGCAUCCCGCCCGCACAGACACCGAGGCCGCCCCCCGCACCUCCCCCCCUGCACACACGUGUCCAUCGGCCUCGCGCAAGCGCUCCUAGGACAACGCCGACCAGAG